UACGUAGGGGGCGAGCGUUGUCCGGAUUUAUUGGGCGUAAAGCGCGCGUAGGCGGUUUGGCAAGUCUGAUGUGAAAACCCGGGGCUCAACCCCGGGCGUGCAUUCGAUACGAGCAAACUAGAGUGUUGCAGGGGAGACUGGAAUUCCUGGUGUAGCGGUGAAAUGCGCAGAUAUCAGGAGGAACACCGGUGGCGAAGGCGGGUCUCUGGGCAACAACUGACGCUGAGGAGCGAAAGCGUGGGGAGCGAACAGG
rnacentral:rRNA from 1 species